rnacentral:antisense_RNA from 1 species
AUAAAAAUACUUUUUAUAUAUAGAUACUAAUGAAAUUAGUCAUUUAAUUACUUUAAUCUUAUCCUAGAUUAGGUAGAGAUAUCUACAAUUGGUACGCCCGAGUGGAUUUGAACCACCGACCCCUACCA